UCCUGCAUACUGAGCACUUUCUGGAGAGCAGAUAUGAAUAGACUCUAGGAGGAAGACAACCCUCCACAGUUCAGUUUCCUCCCAGAUCCCACUGCAUUUCCUUUCUCAAAAUCAAGAACAAAGAAAAUAAGAUGUACCAUAUUUUGAUGAAUAUUGUAAUGUGCUUUGAAACCACAUAGCAGGGGGUGUGGUAGAGAAGGAAUCAAACAAAUGCACUACUGAGGUUAAAGAGGCCAAGUCAAUACAAUGAGAAAAGGCUACAUUUCAGGUUUCUAAAUGACUAACGCUCUUGACUUUUUUUUAAUUUAAUUUUUAUUUUAUAGUGAAGUAGAGUUGAUUUACAAUGCUGUGUUUGUUUUGGGUAGACAGCAAAGUGAUUCAGUUAUAGAAAAUACACAUAUCCUAUAUAGGAUUCUUUUCCCACGUAGGUUACUACGGAAUAUUGUGUCGAGUUCCCUGUGCCAUACAGUAGGUCCUUGUUGAUUAUGCUGUUUAUCUAUGUUACAUAGACUAGUGUGUAUAUGUGACUUUUUAUUAGUCAAUGUGAAAUUGAAGCUAGAUUCACAAUUUUUGUGUUACUAAUUUUCUGGAAGGCAGUGAAGUAGAGACAGCCAUUAUAAUUCUGUUUGACACAUAGAUUUUUAGUCAGGAGUGACUACCUAAUUUGUAAGGUCCAGUGCAAAAUAAAAUUCGGGGAUCCUCUCAUUCCAACACCAGGAAAAAAAUGUGUCCUUUGGUUCUGACAUAGAGAUCCUUUCCUUUUUGUCUCUAGACUUGUCAUGGUGCUUUUGUUUGCUAGUUAAUGUCAUUCAAAAUAAGGAAAAAUUAAAAAUUUAAAUUAUUAGUAUGAGUUUUUCAGUUCAUCUUUGUAUUGCACAAGGCCAGCUUUCCUUGCAUAUUUUUAGAGCAUUUAACUGGUGUGUGGAGUCGUCAAAAUGACACAAUCCCCCUUUCAGAGCAGACACAUACAUAUGUAUUGCAUUCUUACCAGAAUGGUGAGAAUGCUGCUCAAAAUCAACUCAGCUGCUUUCGCAGCACUUCUUGACAGGCACACAUUCUACCAGCAUUCUCUACCUUUGGCUUACUGAUGAGUAAGGAAGGACUGGCAGGAAGAGGAACUGUGGAUUGCUCCACUGAUACAGGGACAUAACAGGAGAAAGAAAUGUGUUAGGAUUUCAUGGCCAUUUGUGUCUCUUAAGAUACAUUGCCUUCUUUAUGGAUUCGGCAUAAAUUCUGGUUUGAACAAAAAGUUUGAUGUCUCCUGAUUGUCAGUGUUUCUACAUAUUUAGUCACAGACAUAACAGACUUACUCUGUCUUCUCUUUGAGUUGCACUCAGCUUCCACACAUGUUGGGUCCCCCUGAGAUUCAUGCUCUGGGUUCCUUGCAAAAACUAUACUGAAACAGGGCAUCCAGAAUCCAGGACUUGCACGCAGAGUAUCUAUCCCCUACCACACGUGAGCUCCAUCAUCUUAUCCUAUGCCACUUACAAAACACAAGCGCAAAGGUAAAAUUGAGAAUCUCAAAAAUCCACGAAAGCAAAGCCUUCACUAACCCUGGAGGCGCUUUGAGCUCAGGGCAAUGGUACAGACCACACCUUCAAGAAGCUGAUUCGGUUGUUAGAUGUAAAACCCAAAUUAAAAUUUUACUUGAAAGAGAAGCAAUAGUAAAGCAUCAAGCCUGGGAUGGAUAUGAUUCUCAGAAUGUUUGUAACAUAUCAUGUUCUUAUUGGAUGGAGAAACAUACUGUAACCCACUGAUGAGUAGAGGUGAGAAGGAAAGAAAACCUGCUUCAGCAGACACAAGCAUUCCUUUCUUCACUCUUACAGCUUGAGGGGGAAAUUAAUAAUUGUUUUCAUGAUACAUUUGCAUUUUAAAUCGGAUUUUUCUAGAAAAGCAAACUGUGGACUUCAGAGUGACACAGAAGCAGAUACUUCAAAAUAUCUGAUAUUGGAAAAUGGGAUUCAAAACAAAGUUGAUUCUGAUGUAAGCAGACAAUCAAAAAGUUAAUUUUUCAGGCAUUUUUCUGGAAGAGGAACUCACUUUUCCUUAGAUGAUAUGAUAAACAAUAAUUGGGUUCUCGUCCUUGGAGUGUAAUGGUGAUAGUGCAAUGUAAUAACCAAAACCUCAUGUAAAAUAUUUUUUAUGAGAAAUACAUUUCAAAGUCUAGGCAUACAGUUCCACUCAGCUUACCUGUGGGAACAGGGCCUUCCCUGAGUCCUAGGUUGGAGCCGAGAUUCUGAUUCUGAAAACUAUGUUGGUAGCUGCGAGAGACACAUGAACUCAGUGGGAUCGUGAAAAAUCUAGGUCGACCUUGGUGCUGGUAACUUGCUAAGUUUCUCCACGUACAGAAGAGAGGGGUGCUUGUCUGCAAAUACUUAGGAGAUCAUGUCGCUAGAACUGCUUUGAGAGUUCCCACCGCGGUGCAGCAGGUUAAGAACCCAACUUAGUGCCCCUGAGGAUGCGGAUUUUAUCCAUGGCCUCACUCAGUGAGUUAAGGAUCCAGUGUUGCUGCAAGCGACAACAUAGUUCACAGGUGCGGCUCAGAUACUGCAUUGCUGUGGCUGUGGCACAGGCCGGCAGCAGCAGCUCUGAUUUGACCCCUGGCCUGGGAACUUCCAUAUGCCAUGGAUGUGAUCCUAUAAAAAUAUAAAUAAAUGAACAAAUAAAAUAAAAAAAAACAUACUUUGCAGAAGGCUGGAUGGACGCCCCUUUACUGGGUCUCCUCAUGUGAGUUCCUUUUCCCUACACAUCUCUAAGUAGAAAAAUUUAAGAUUUUCAUGUUGUUUUAACAAUGUAAUUUCAAAUUUUCCCUGUGAACAUCGAAUAAGCUGAAAUGCAUUGGCAGUUCUGCACACUAUCGCUCUAUGAGCUGUUGAUAAACCCAGAAAUUAAAAAAAAAAAAAUAGGGAGAAGAAAAGCCGACCCAAUAACUAUAUUUCAACAAAGCAAGACUAUUAAAAUAAGAAAUGAGAAAGUGAGAGUUAAACGUAGUGACCUAUCAAUGCUCCGUAACUAAUGUUCCUAGUGACAGCCGAUAUUUUUUCAGGGUUCAUUCAUCUCACACAGGCUCUGUGAUAUAUGUGUAUUAAUUCAUUUAAUCCUCAUACCACCCCUCUAAGACACUUAUUUUUAAAAUUUUUAUUAUUUUAUUUAUUUUUUUGAAGGGCAGCACCGUGGCAUAUGGAGGUUCCCAGGCUAGGGGUUGAAUCGGAGCUGUAGCCACUGGCCCACACCACAGCCACAACAAAGCUGGAUCCGAGCCAUGUCUGCGACCUACACCACAGCUCACGGCAACACCAGAUCCUUAACCCACUGAGUCAAGCCAGGGUUGGAACCUGCAUCCUCACGAAUGCUAGUCAGAUGCAUUAACCAUUUAGCCACGAUAGGAACUCCAUGAUAGUCAUAUUAUUUAUACAGCAUUUUAAAAAAGGAAUUUAUGGAAUGACCAAGACGUGCUGUAACUAAACCAGGAAGCUUCUACAUAGUGAGGGAAAACUCAUACUCAGUGUGUCUGGUUCAAAGGCACCUCAUCUUCACCCUGUUUUGUUUUUAUGGCCUUAUUUCUGACUUCGUUUCCACAUGGUGUGUACUCAGAAUUGUUGAGACCGGGAUGAAUAUUUAAUAUGAAAUUAAAUUUAACAUAAGCUUGAUUCCAAAUUUAAAUACUACUCAGAAAUGUUAGGCAAGAAUGUGUGUUCAUUUACAAGUAAAAUGUACUGGCGUGUUGUUUAAAGCUAUAAAAUACUUUAUAGACACAAGAUGGAAUUAGAGAUAUUUGACCACAGUAAAAAUUUGGCUGGAUGGGAAAUGGGAGAUGAUGCCUUAAAAUAUUACUUGCUUGGGUUAAAACAAUUUAACCCUUCUUUUCCAUUUUAAAGCUUUUCGCAGACAAAGAAAAAAUUGUUGUGAUAUUGGAAUUUUUAUCCUAUAUCUUAUAUCAUCCAAAGGGUAAUGUAAAUGAAUUUAUCAAAUGAAUUUAUGAAAUACCAUAUAAAAUUAUUUUAUUUAUUUAUUUAUUUUUGCUUUUUAGGGCUGCACCCAUGGCAUAUGGAUGUUCCCAGGCUAGGCGUCAAAUUGGAGCUAUAGCUGCCGGCUUAUGCCACAGCCACAGCAAUGCCAGAUCCAAGCCAUGUCUGCAACCUACACCACAGCUCAUGGCAACACCAGAUCCUCAACCCACUGAGCGAGGCCAGGGAUUGAACCUGAAACCUCAGGGUUCCUAGUCGGUUUCGUUUCCGCAGCACCACAACGGGAACUCCCAUAUAAAAUUAUUUUAGCCUAUCUUUCUAAGUAGCUUGCAAUCUCCAUGCCUUAAAAAAAUAUAUCCAACACCAACCAAAGUUUUUGAUAUGUAGUAUGUCUCGAAAAGAUUGAAAAUAAAUUCAACAAAUCAACCAUUGGGCAUUAAUUAUAACACACAAUAUUUGCAAGAAAGGAAUGAAAUGAUACCCAGAUCAAAAACCUUUUACCACUACUUGUGGCAAACUAGAAAAGACAGAGCGAAAAUAUCAAAUUUAUUUCAGCGAGAAUUUGAAAUGAACAAAGAGUGAUCUCAGCUGCAAACCACAUAAAAGUGACUAUUUGAAAGAAUUAAGAUUUAAAAACAUAGAGACACAAGAAUAUGUAAUGAAAUGGAAAUGAGUUUCUCUCCGAUUUAAUGGAUAUUGUGGGAAUAAGUGUGGAGGUUGAGAAUAGCUUAAUUUAAAGUAAAUAACGUCAUGCUGUUGCUUUACUAAGGAAAAAUGGGUUUCUCAAAAUAAGAGACAUCCUUUAUAAUUACGGGAUUCAGCCCUGAUGGAGAAUAAAGGUGUGCUCUGAUGUUCUCAGAACACCACAGAGAAUUUUCCUUGCCUGUGUCAGGGACAAUUAUUCCCUCUUCAACUAAAUUAAAAAGAUUCACGAGCAGAAAAAGACCUGAUACUAUCUGAACAUCACAGAUUAGGCAUUGUCUUCUCUGGGGUUUUAAAAUGGAUAUAAUGGGGCUGUGUUUUUUCUUAAUAUGAAAUAUAUUUUAUUCUACAGUAAAAAUAAUAUUGAAAUUAUAGAAAGAUGAAAACCUGCUUUAAUAGUUAAAAUUAAAUUUGGGGUCACUAGGGUUUUUAUUUAAAAAUUGUCACAAGAUGUAAGGAAUAUACAUGCAUAUAUAUCAAUGUCAUAUCAACAUAUAAAAAUUCUGUCAGUGAAAAGCAUUUACAUGUUUUAUGGAUCUCAGUUACCUUCUAUACAUGCUAUUUCUCCCUUUUGUGCUUCUUUAUGGUUCAUAUUUAUGUUCACAACAGUAACAUUUUAUUUAUUUCCCUUUAUGGCAUUUCAUUUUUGAAUAUGUUAGAAAAAAAAAAUCCUAGUUAAAAAAUGACUAUAAGUCUUUCAUUUAACAUUAAGGAUUUUGCUUUUUUUACCACCAUACCUCCCCAUCCUUUCACCUUUCUCCAAAACAACACGGCUUUUAGUGAGAAACCAAACUUCCCCCACCUCCCUCAUUUGUCUAGAAAAGCAUUCUUUCUCCCAAACACCAAAAAUGGUGAAACUACAUCCCUGCUUUUGAAAGACAUUAGCUUCUAGCUCUAGAAAUUUCAUUGAUGUUUAGCAGUAAGCUUGGGGUCUUAUAGAAUGAGGGGAGAUGCUUUUAAAAUCUUAACCAAAGGGCCACUGAAAUAAAAUAAGCUGAAUCUUUAGAAGAAAUAACCCAUUCAUAAUGAGGAAUGUGAAGUUCCCUUUGUGGUACAGUGAAACAAAUACAACUAGGAACCAUGAGGUUGUGGGUUCGAUUCCUGGCCUCGCUCAAUGGGUUAAGGAUCUGGCGUUGCUGUGAGCUGUGGUGCAGGUCACAGGCAGGGCUCAGAUUUGGCAUGCUGUGGCUGUGGUAUAGGCUCGCAGCUGUAGCUCCAAUUAGACCCCUAGCCUGGGAACCUCCAUAUGCUGCAGGUGCAGCCCUAAAAAAAGCAAAAAAAAACCAAAACAAAACAAAAAAAAAACACAGGAAUGUGAUUUCAGAAUAAAAAUGUACUGCACCAUAAUUUCUGCCAUGGCUCAGUGGUAAGGAACCUGACUCCUAUCUAUGAGGAUGCAGGUUUGAUCCCUGGCCUCACUCCAUGGAUUAAGGAUCCAGCGUUGCCAUGGGCUGUGGUGUAGGUUGCAGAUGCAUCUCAGAUCUGGUGUUGCUGUUGCUGUGGCUGUAGUAUAGGCCAGAGGCUACAGCUCCAAUUUGAUCCCUAGCAUGGGAAACUUCAUAUGCUGCAGC
rnacentral:lncRNA from 1 species